GAUGAACGCUGGCGGCGUGCCUAAUACAUGCAAGUCGAGCGAACAGACGAGGAGCUUGCUCCUCUGACGUUAGCGGCGGACGGGUGAGUAACACGUGGAUAACCCACCUAUAAGACUGGGAUAACUUCGGGAAACCGGAGCUAAUACCGGAUAAUAUAUUUAACCGCAUGGUUCAAUAGUGAAAGACGGUUUUGCUGUCACUUAUAGAUGGAUCCGCGCCGCAUUAGCUAGUUGGUAAGGUAACGGCUUACCAAGGCGACGAUGCGUAGCCGACCUGAGAGGGUGAUCGGCCACACUGGAACUGAGACACGGUCCAGACUCCUACGGGAGGCAGCAGUAGGGAAUCUUCCGCAAAGGGCGAAAGCCUGACGGAGCAACGCCGCGUGAGUGAUGAAGGUCUUCGGAUCGUAAAACUCUGUUAUUAGGGAAGAACAAAUGUGUAAGUAACUAUGCACGUCUUGACGGUACCUAAUCAGAAAGCCACGGCUAACUACGUG
rnacentral:rRNA from 1 species